UAGUCCACGCCGUAAACGAUGAGUGCUAAGUGUUAGGGGGUUCCGCCCUUUAGUGCUGCAGUUAACGCAUUAAGCACUCCGCCUGGGGAGUACGACCGCAAGGUUGAAACUCAAAGGAAUUGACGGGGGCCCGCACAAGCGGUGGAGCAUGUGGUUUAAUUCGAAGCAACGCGAAGAACCUUACCAGGUCUUGACAUCCUUUGACCAUUCUGGAGACAGAACUUUCCCUUCGGGGACAAAGUGACAGGUGGUGCAUGGUUGUCGUCAGCUCGUGUCGUGAGAUGUUGGGUUAAGUCCCGCAACGAGCGCAACCCUUGAUUUUAGUUGCCAGCAUUCAGUUGGGCACUCUAAAGUGACUGCCGGUGUAAGCCGGAGGAAGGUGGGGAUGACGUCAAAUCAUCAUGCCCCUUAUGACCUGGGCUACACACGUGCUACAAUGGAUAAUACAAAGGGUCGCGAAGCCGCGAGGUGGAGCCAAUCCCAUAAAAUUAUUCUCAGUUCGGAUUGCAGGCUGCAACUCGCCUGCAUGAAGCCGGAAUCGCUAGUAAUCGUAGAUCAGCAUGCUACGGUGAAUACGUUCCCGGGCCUUGUACACACCGCCCGUCACACCACGAGAGUUUGUAACACCCAAAGCCGGUUUGGUAACCUUCGGGAGCUAGCCGUCUAAGGUGGGAUAGAUAAUUGGGGUGAAGUCGUAACAAGGUAACCA
rnacentral:rRNA from 1 species